ACGUCUCCCAAUCUCAGCUACAAUUAUCCUGUAUAUUGGGUGUGUGCAGGGGUGGGGAGUAGAGCGUAGUUCAUAAGCCUGUGGACCAAGAGAAAUUCAUCAGACUUGUUGGAAAAGACUGUACAUCACCUAGAAGUUCCGGACAUUGAGCUGAAUGCAGAAGCUAUAUGGGGUUUGGCUUUGACUCCCUUGGAAGGGGAUUGAAUGGGUUCUAUGUGUGGCAAGAAGGCUACACACACCACUGACUGUGGGAGACACUGCUGGCUCGGUAUCCAAAUCUGUUAUUUCUUUUCCUGAGCACGAAGGUGCAUCUACAGGGCAUGUGUAGGAUCCCAUUUGAAGGUGCUUUCCACUGCUAAAGAGCAAAGAGGAGGAAGAGGAAAGAAAGAAUAAAGACGGGAAGGACAGAGGGAUGGAGGCGAAUCCCUUUGAGUGGGGGCUGGACCCAGUGACUGGCUUCCAAUGAGUAGAAUGUGGCAGAAGCAACGGUUUGUGAUUUCGGAGACUAGGUCAUUAUUAACGGCACUAUAAUGUCCUCCUUCCACACCCUCUCUCGGAUCAGUCACACUGGGGAAGUUGGUUCCCAUGCCGUGAAGAAAGGCUCGCAUGGCAAAGAACUGAGGCCUGUGCCAGCAACCACGUGGGGGUGCCUGCCUUGGACACAGCCCCCCUUCAAGCCUCCCCACGACUGCACUUCUUGCUGACAUCCUGACUGCAACACCAGAGAGGUGCUGAGCCAGGAACAACCCAGCUAAGUUGUCCCCAAAUUUCUGAUCAUCCCUCCCCCCAAAACCUGUGACCUAAUGGAUAUUUAUCAUGUGUUGUUUUAAGCUAUACGUUUUGGGACUGAUUUAUUACGCAACAUCAAAUGAGUCAGAAGAAUGUCACAAGAUUUCUUUUUUCCUGGAAGCCCUGGAAAAAAAACCAUCUCAAGAAGGCGGAAGUGGGAGGCCAGGCCUGGGGUGCUCUUCUUCCCAGGGUGAGGAGAUUUCAGCACUGGCUCUUGGGUUUCACAGUGCAGAAGUCACUGGAGGUGUUUCAGGGAGUGGCGCCGUCAAAGGCCUGACUGGAGUGGCUUCAAGAGAGAACAAAAGGGAACGUGGGAGGCUGAUGGUGCAGCCAGUCCUUUCAUGGGCCUUUGCUGCAGAGGACAGUAAGAUGUUGGAGCAGUAGCUGGAGGGCUGUAAGUGGGGACACCUUUAUAUAUAGAUCCUGUUUCGAUUCUGAUGGUCAUGACAUACAACGGGGAGGAAGAUGAUGCAGGAGGGAGGGGUGGCUCCUGGACGAAUAUUCCCUUUUUAAUUUUAGACAGG